UUUUAAAUUAGUUUCUCAGAUAGAAUAAAAAUUAUACUAUAUAGUCUGAUGUAUAAUUGAUAGUUAGCGAUUAAUAGGUAUAUGUGAUUUAUUCAAGAUGGCGAAGUGUGAUUACCAUAUCCAGAAAAAUUUUAAAGAAUCUAAGAGAAAAAUCCUUUUAGAGAUUUUUGCCGAUUUACUUUUUACAAAGUAAGAUUGAGAUUGGGCAUAUCUAUUAGAUUUACUAGAUGAAGAAUGUCAGAACAAGUAGAAUUGAUGAAAAUAAAUUAUGAAAGAAGUUGCCUAUGAUAAAAAAAUAUGAUCCAAGAUCAAGUAUAUCUAUCGCAAAGAUCAAAGUGUCCAUAUGAAAACCAGUAAUAAUUUUCAAACGAAUAAGAAAAUGGACAGUUCCCGGAGUAAUGUUUGAACAGCAGCGAUGAAAUAUCUCGACGAAGUUAUCGUAAAAUAACCAUUGGUUUCAGUUAUGGAUCCAUUCGAUAAAGAGCAUCAUCAUCAAUAUCAUAUUCCAACGUAGAAACGAUGCUUUAAAUCAGUAACAUUCGAAUAUUCCAUCUGAUGGUGAAGUAUAGUCUAAACGAUCAGCUUCAGAAACAACAAAUGGAUCAAACUAAGCAUGUGGAUAUUAAUUUGGAACUGGAAUUUCAACAAAAAAGAAUGGAAAAAGAGUCGAAAAAGAGAAUAAACGAUUAAUUAAAAUGAUAGAAGAUAUAAAAUAUAAUAAUCCUGAAGAAAGAUCUUGAAAAAGAGAAUGGAAGAUUAAUUAGAAUGGUAAAAGAUAUAAAAUUCAACAACUACUGCUCAUCAUCAUAGUGACAUUAUGCCUGCCAUUUGCAAGAAAAGAAGAGAUUACAAAGGAAUGUUCGAAAUGCAGUUUGUUCCCAUUCAUUGUCUAUGAGCGAGAAGUUAAAUUCAACUCAACAGAAGAUUGACAAACUUUUCAACGAGCUCAGUUCAGUGCACAAAACUUUUUUAUUAUGGUGUUGUUCUCGAAAUCAUUACGCAACUUUUUAAACAACUUUUUUACUUUAUAUGUGCAAAUAUGUAGAAUAAUUUAGUACUGAAAUAUGAAGUAACUGAAAUAUACUUUGAUCAUGCACCUCAAUAAUGCAUGAAUUCCUUCAUUUUCAAUCAACGAUAUAAAUAAUCAAGUUGGUAUUACAUUGAUUAGGUAUAAUUUGAGUCAUUUGGAACAGUGUAGAAAAAAACGCAUAGGAAUUACUACUCGAGCAUUGACUAUCCAAGCAGUAUAACUUUUUCAAGAGCAGAAAUCUGAUAUAGAUGUGAAUUUCAUUUGCAAUAAACUUAAGAUCAAUCAGAUAGUGAAAAUAUUAAAUUAUACACCGACAAAUAAAUUCGAAACACGAGUUUCUUAUCUUUUAUAAGAAAAGUAGAAACCAAAUUGUCCAAACGUAAUGAGAAUAAUGAACGGGUACUUGUGCGUGCGUGCGCGCGUGUGUGUGUGUGUGUAUUUAUGUGGAGUGUAUAAAUAUGGAAAUAUAAGGUGAUGGAUAUAUGUUUGACCAAUCAUUGAUGUAUCGACGAUGCCGAGUACUGAUCUUUUUGAAUUGUCCAUAAACAAAUGUUUUUCAAUAGAUAAAUAGCGUUUUUCGUUUUCAUUUAAUGACUAAAAGUCUGUAACAGGCAAGACAGUUAAAUCUAUGCAGUCGUGCCAGAAGAAUAUAAUAGAAGUACGUAAAAAGUCAAUCUCCUCUAUCAAAACAUCGAAACGAAAAACAAAUUAGCAAAGUAAAAGCAUCUAAGAAAAAAAUCUAUUCUUCGUAUAAAAUGUUUGUCCUCUUACUAUUAUUCUUCAUGUGAUUGUUAUUCAUAUAACGGCGGAUAGUGCUACAAUUGCACGAUACACAGAAAUAAAACACGUUGUAAAAUACAAUUUUAAUGACAAUUUUUAAUUAAUCAAUUUAUUUAUUUGUAUUUAUUUCUUUCGUAAUUUAU